rnacentral:ncRNA from 12 species
CUUAUCCAAGGAUAGAACAGGCAGCUAUCACGCCCUUUGUGGUCUUAAAGAGAUACCGGAGUGUCACCCGGUUGGAUAAU